rnacentral:rRNA from 1 species
AUGUCACAUGAUGCCACAACUUCUUGGAUGAUGGUUGGCUCUCCAACAUGGUAUUGGUGUUGCCCUUGCAAAACAUGUGGACAAUGCUUUCAUUCCUGGUGCAUGCAAUCGAUACAUACAAGCAGGGGCGGAGCUUUGUUGGGGCCAAACCGAGCCAUGGCCCGCCCAGGUUUUCACAAUUUUUUUAUACUUAUAUAUGCUAGCCCACUCAGCUUAUUACCAUCCAUGAAUCGAUCGAAGCCUGUCACUACGGCACGAGCACACACAACACGAGCAGCGGCUACAACCAGCCAGGACUAA